rnacentral:lncRNA from 1 species
CAGCUCCACAAACAGAUCCCUCAGCACAAAUCAGAUGGUUCUUCCUACCAGUGUUGGGAGUGUGGCCUCUGCUACACGUCUCAUGUCUCGCUGUCCAGGCACUUCUUCAUUGUACGCAAGUUAAAGGAACCUCAGCCAAUGUCCAGGCAAAAUGGGACUGGGGAAGAUAACUAACAGAAAACAAACCCAGCCAUGAGGAUGAAUCCCCCAAUGGUGCCGUGUCAGACAGAAAGUGCAAAAUGUGCACAAAAAUUUGAAACUGAAGCUGCCUUAAAUACUCACAUGCGGACACACGGCAUGGCCUUCAUCAAAUCCAAAGGGAUGAGCUCAGCCUAGAAA